rnacentral:rRNA from 1 species
UGGGGAAUCUUCCGCAAUGGACGAAAGUCUGACGGAGCAACGCCGCGUGAGUGAUGACGGCCUUCGGGUUGUAAAGCUCUGUUAAUCGGGACGAAUGGUUCUUGUGCGAAUAGUGCAAGGAUUUGACGGUACCGGAAUAGAAAGCCACGGCUAACUACGUGCCAGCAGCCGCGGUAAUACGUAGGUGGCAAGCGUUGUCCGGAAUUAUUGGGCGUAAAGCGCGCGCAGGCGGAUUGGUCAGUCUGUCUUAAAAGUUCGGGGCUUAACCCCGUGAUGGGAUGGACACUGCCAAUCUAGAGUAUCGGAGAGGAAAGUGGAAUUCCUAGUGUAGCGGUGAAAUGCGUAGAUAUUAGGAAGAACACCAGUGGCGAAGGCGACUUUCUGGACGAAAACUGACGCUGAGGCGCGAAAGCCAGGGGAGCGAACGGG